rnacentral:rRNA from 1 species
GACAUAUGCGAUCAGGUAGUUGGUGGGGUAAGAGCCUACCAAGCCAAUGACGCCUAGCUGGUCUGAGAGGAUGAUCAGCCACACUGGAACUGAGACACGGUCCAG